rnacentral:rRNA from 1 species
GACAGAGGGUGCAAACGUUGCUCGGAAUUACUGGGCGUAAAGGGCGUGUAGGCGGGCAGGUAAGUCGGGCGUGAAAUCCCUGGGCUCAACCCAGGAACUGCACUCGAAACUACUUGCCUUGAGUGCCGGAGAGGAAAGCGGAAUUCCUGGUGUAGAGGUGAAAUUCGUAGAUAUCAGGAGGAACACCGAGUGGCGAAGGCGGCUUUCUGGACGGUA